rnacentral:lncRNA from 1 species
AGACAGAGCAUGAGCAAAGGUGGGGGAGAGAGAGAGAGAGAGAGAGAGACAGAGAGAGAGAGAGAGAGAGAGAGAGAGAGAGAGAAUCCCAAGCAGGCUCCCUGCUGUCAGCAAAGGGCGUGGGGCUAAAACCCACAAAUCUGUGAGAUUAUGACCUGAGCUGAAAUCAAGAGUCACUUAACUGACUGAGCCACUCAGGAACCCCUCAAGUACCAAUUUUUAAAAACGUAGAUCUUUAUCACAAUUAAAAAUAAAUAAAUAAGGUUUUAAAAAAGUAAACUAGAAUCUAGACUAGAAGGUUGCCCAGCAUGGGUGAAAACAGUCAUUUAGCUCAAUGUGAAGAAAUUCUGUGUGACCAAUCAAGUCAUGAGUUUCUUGAAUUAUCACUGCAAUCCUAUUUGCUAGGUGUCAAAAUGUUUUAAGGAGGUGUUUGGCUGUGAUCCUUAAUUCAUAGAGUUAAUACAUAUGUAUUGGCACAGUGUGAGGCAUUUGAAAGAUAGUCCUCUCAAAAUAAAAUGUCCUUGUGUUUUUGGAGCUUGCUGUACAGUAAAAAAGAAAGACUAAGCAAACAAGUAAAUAUCGAAUUGCAAACUGGGAUGAAGCUUUAGAAGGAAGAGAACUGGGUUCUUAAAAGAGAGACUAAUAGAAGCAUCUGGACGCAGAAGUAGACAGACUUCCUGAGAUGUGCAUGAAGGGGAGUUACCCACACACAGGGCGUGGAGAGCUUUGCAGGCGGACGGAAACUCUGACGGAGACACUAGAGAGCCAGCGAGCGGGAGAAAGCGGGAGAGGGGCUGAGGGGAAUGAGAAUCCCAAGCAGGCUCUGCUCUGCCAGUACAGAGCCCAACACAGGGCUUGAUGUCACGAACCAUGAGGCCUUGACCUGAGCUGAAAUCAAGAGCCAGACAUCCAACUGACUGAGCCACCCCGGUGCCCCAUCAAGCGCUAAUUUUAAAUGAGAGAAGGAGAAUUGAGAACACAGGAAACUGACUUUGGGGAAUGUAAGAACAAACACAAAAAGGCAAAUGAAAACAUUUGGUUAAUACAGAUUCCAUUUGAGUGUAAAAGAAAAAAUACUUUUUAUGGCUACUAAAAAAUUCAAAAUUUAGAAAUGCAUAUGAACCUAAAGUUGCUCUAAAAAAUAAAGUCCUUAAAAAAGAACGCAUAAUUCUGGCUGGUUCAAUAAAUAAUCAGGUUUGUUUUUGUGGUGUACAUUGUAUUUAUGAGAUUUUUAGUUAAAUGGAAAAAUGUGAAUUAUUGUGGCUUGGGUGAUGUGCUCUCUUCUAAAUUAAAAACAGCAUAGCAAAAAAUAAUCCCUCAAAUAGCCAUAAAUAACUUGGUGAAUGGGCAAUAAUUUAUCUCCCAAUCACCUCAUAUGAAGUGUGAAGCAAUUUUGGUAAAUUAAAUGAAGGCAUGUCUUCUAACAUAACUUAAAAAUAGAUUACUUUCUAAAUGUUUUAGAGAUACUUUCUUAAAAAAAUCUACCAGUAAAAAAAAUG